rnacentral:rRNA from 1 species
UACGUAGGGUGCAAGCGUUAUUCGGAAUUACUGGGCGUAAAGCGUACGCAGGCGGCUAUGUAAGUCAGGUGUGAAAUCCCCGGGCCUAACCUGGGAACUGCAUUUGUGACUGCAUAGCUAGAGUCCGUCAGAGGGGGGUGGAAUUCCACGUGUAGCAGUGAAAUGCGUAGAGAUGUGGAGGAACACCGAUGGCGAAGGCAGCCCCCUGGGAUGAGACUGACGCUCAUGUACGAAAGCGUGGGGAGCAAACAGG